UGCUUAAAAACUUAAUACUAGCACAUUGCUAUCAAUAUGCUAAAAUUACAAUCUUUUUAGCAGGGAAACAUGACAAUACAAUUAAUAUAACCCCAAAAAACUGACAAAACUUCAAGAGAAAUCAAAUCAACGUUAACAGCACGCCUACUUGAAUGUACGUGUUGAAGAAUUAUCCGGACGAGCGGACAGUCGUUUUUGGACGUUCGAGUAUCCACCUAUGUAAUAGGUUACCAUAUAAUAAAUGUCCCAAGCAGACUUUCGACGCUAUUUUGAGCUACUUGUAACCACAUUCCUAGUAUUGUCGCACUUUCUCCGUAUUGUCGAUUGCAAAUGUAUUCGAAUUAAAUAAUGGCAAGGUAUACUCAAUAUUCAUUCCCUCUGCUUAUAUAGGUCCUUCUCAUCCCAUCUUGGGUCCUGCUACCAGUUUUAAGGUCCGGGCGGCCGGGCCCUCGAGUGAAUGUCAAGUAGGCAUCCGUCUUAAGAAUGUGAGGAACACUAAUAACUUUCUUAAUGCAUAUUCAAUACUAGAGGAGAAAAAUGAAAAGAAUCGCCUGCAAAGCCUGAAAAAAGUGAACUCCUGCAUGCUCAAUCUUUGCAAAACAGUCCUCAAUGGGUAGGAAAUUAAAAUAUGUACGAUGGAUUUACUUGAAUCGGCUGGCAAAAGCGUUUGAGAGCUCAUUCAUUGCAGUUUGUGUGACGACUUUGCCGAUCUCUUGCUGGAUCUGCUGCUGCAUUCUUUGCGGUAACUGAGGCAUCCCUCCACGACUGCAGCAUUCACCAAGGAACCAAUUACAUUACAAAUUAAAAGCAGUCAAAAAAAAUAAUCCGCGCAAAAAUGUGAAAAUAAAGGCACAAGGCAACCCUGGGUCUAACAUUGAUGAUGAGCUCUGCAGCAUUCACCAAGGAACCAAUUACAUUACAAAUAAAAAGCAGUCUUAGAAGAAUAAUCCGCGGCAAAAAUGUAAAAUAAAGGCACAAGGCAACCCUGGUCUAACAUUGAUGAUGAGCUCGCUUUGGGAAAAAUCAUCAGCCAUUGCAAAAAAAAAAGAAAAAGAAUUAUGUGGUGAUAUUAUCGAAAUUGGAGAUUUUUAAUUAUUAUCACUGUUUAUCAAAGAUACAAGAAGAGUCCGCAUUGAAUAGGGAAAGUACAUGACCACCAGAUCUUCCCGCGUUUUUUAUUCUAGCCAAACAGAUACCCGACUAAAACUUCAUUUUUUGUGUAAAAUAACAUAGGAAAUGAAAACCAUAUAUCUUCUUCGAAUUCGGCCAAUUCAUCGGCAUAAAUGUGUUCAUGACUGACUUCACGCGGAUUUGACGUCUCUCAGUGAUGUAUAUUAAUUCCACUUACGCCAAAAAACACCAAAGAUCUUGAUUUUUGAAAUUUCCAUUUUCUUCAAGUUGGGGCGAUGUUUUUGACCAGACAGUCAAAACGUCAACCCGAAUGGAAAAAAAUUGAAAUUUCAAAAAUCAGGAUCCUUGGUGUUUUUUGGAGUGAGUGAAAUUAUUAUACAUCCUCAGAGACUCCAAAUCCUCGAGGAGUCAGUUAUGAACACAUUUUUGCCGAUAAAUUGGCCGCAUUCGAAAAAAAUACAUGGUUUCGAUUUCCAACGUUAUUUUCCACAAAAAAUGAAGAAGUGGUAGUCGCGUGUCUGACUGGCUGGAAUAAAAAACGUGGGAGAUCUGGUGGUCACGCACUUUUUCAAUUCAAUGCAGACUCUUGUUUUCUCUUAACUGUUCAUACAUUUGGAGGCCUGUGUUUCCCCUUUAGAUCCUUUAAAGCAGUGGUGAGCAAGCUUUGAUGCUUAAAGCUGUAAAGCUGAACACUGGCCUUAAAAUUAGCGGACAAAGCAAAAAUAUCCAAUCACCUAUUUAAAUCUUCUCAAAGAAUUUUAGCUUUCAUAUAGUUACCAAAACCAGGAGAAAUGGACCAGUUAAGCCGAGAGGGCACGUAGUUCAUUCCCUCAGACUCCAGUGCGAGAAAACCGAAGGGGAGGUAAAAUCGUACGAAAAAUCGUCUGCGCGGGAAAAAGGGGUCCUUCAAAACAUGUUUGGACAACUUUUUUUGUUACGCGUCAUAGACUGGAAAAUGACUGUGGCGACGCCAACCUCUUAAUUACCACAACGCUGCCGUUGUUGGCAUUUCGUUCCAGGUUCGGUUAGUUCUGGGGUGUUGAGAUAAGUUGAUCUCAAAUUGCAUUGCCGUGUAUCCUUCCAUUACGGAUUUCGCUGCCAUAUUUAUCUUGAGUUUGUGAGCUUAAAUCUGAAAGGAAAGAGCGCGCAGUUCUAACCCUGUUUUCGGCUGCCCUAAUGUUUUGCAUUUUAAAUUGAACUCUUCUCCGCGUUGAAGUCAACAAAAAAGUUGAGAGAAAAGUUGUAAGUUUAGUUUUUACAAUACUUUCGGUCUACAUAAUAAAACUAGCGGGCCCUGCCCCCUGACCGCUACGUGGCCCAACCCCCGGAGGGCGCCUC
rnacentral:lncRNA from 1 species